rnacentral:ncRNA from 2 species
GCCCCUGUGGUUCGCAACCCAUCCCACAUAAAAAAACUAGGAAACC